GUGAAUCAUCGAAUUUUUGAACGCAAAUUGCGCUUCCUGGCACCCCGGGAAGUAUGCCUGUUUGAGGGUCAGUAUUAACAAAAAAUCGGUUGGUUUGCAAAUUGUUACCUUUCGGGGGUUUGGGCUAUCUUAACUUUUUUGGUUAAGUGGUUUAAAAUUGACCUUUUUUGCGCUUUUUUAGACGUACAUAAAUUUUUUUUUUUUUUCGUCUUUUAUU
rnacentral:misc_RNA from 1 species